CAACGCCGCGUGGAGGAUGAAGCCCCUUGGGGGUGUAAACUCCUUUCGAUCGGGAAGAUAAUGACGGUACCGAUAUAAGAAGCCCCCGGCUAAACUUCGUGC
rnacentral:rRNA from 1 species